rnacentral:rRNA from 1 species
UACAGAGGUCCCAAGCGUUGUUCGGAUUCACUGGGCGUAAAGGGUGCGUAGGCGGCGCGGUAAGUCGGGUGUGAAAUCUCGGAGCUUAACUCCGAAACUGCAUUCGAUACUACCGUGCUUGAGGACUGGAGAGGAGACUGGAAUUUACGGUGUAGCGGUGAAAUGCGUAGAUAUCGUAAGGAAGACCAGUGGCGAAGGCGGGUCUCUGGACAGUUCCUGACGCUGAGGCACGAAGGUCAGGGGAGCAAACGGG